CCCGAGGUAGCUCAACAGUAGAGCAGGCGGCUGUAAACCGCAAGGUUGUAGGUGCAAAUCCUGCUCUCGGGA
rnacentral:tRNA from 1 species